ensembl:lncRNA
CCAAGGCUCCCAUGUGGCAGACUCAGGAUAAAAACACAAGUCUAGUGAUGCCCAGACACUACUCUUUCCAAUAGCUCACAUUCCAUGAGGAAGGGGAAAAGGCACAUUUCUUUAGUGCUGUGCACCCUGCAUGGAAGUUCUGAAGGCCGGGAAGUCCAAGAUCAAGGUGCCAAUAGUAUCUGGUAUGUGCUUCUAUUCCAGGUAUUCUGAGCCAAUUCUGCAAAUCAGACUUCUUGGAAGAUUCAAAUGGUUUAAACUAUCUUCAAACCUAAGACAUCAAAUGUACGAUUUUCCCUUCAUCCACCAACUUUGUACUUUUAUCCAACAAAAAAAAAAAGAAGGAGGUACUGAGUCCAU